UUUCCGUAGGUGAACCUGCGGAAGGAUCAUUAACGAGUUCGUACCUCUCGGUACCCACUCCCACCAUUUGUGAACCUACAAUUGUUGCUUUGGCGGACCGUGUUCGCACCUCCAGCAGCUGGGGGAGCGUCCGCCAGAGGAUCUUCAAACAAGUCAACUGUGUUAAUCUGAUCAAAAUUGAAUUAUUAAAACUUUCAACAACGGAUCUCUUGGUUCUGGCAUCGAUGAAGAACGCAGC
rnacentral:misc_RNA from 1 species